rnacentral:rRNA from 1 species
UACAGAGGGUGCGAGCGUUAAUCGGAAUUACUGGGCGUAAAGCGUGCGUAGACGGUUAUUUAAGUCGGGUGUGAAAGCCCCGGGCUCAACCUGGGGAUUGCAUUCGAGACUGAAUAGCUAGGGUACGGUAGAGGGAAGCGGAAUUUCCGGUGUAGCGGUGAAAUGCGUAGAUAUCGGAAGGAACAUCAGUGGCGAAAGCGGCUUCCUGGACCAGUACCGACGUUCAGGCACGAAAGCGUGGGGAGCAAACAGG